rnacentral:rRNA from 1 species
GACGAACGCUGGCGGCGUGCUUAACACAUGCAAGUCGAGCGGUAAGGCCCUUUCGGGGGUACACGAGCGGCGAACGGGUGAGUAACACGUGGGUGACCUGCCCUCAGCUCUGGGAUAAGCCUGGGAAACUGGGUCUAAUACCGGAUAUGACCCCAUGACGCAUGUCGUGGGGUGGAAAGCCUUGUGCGGCUGAGGAUGGGCCCGCGGCCUAUCAGCUUGUUGGUGGGGUGAUGGCCUACCAAGGCGACGACGGGUAGCCGGCCUGAGAGGGCGACCGGCCACACUGGGACUGAGACACGGCCCAGACUCCUACGGGAGGCGAGCAGUGGGGAAUCUUGCGCAAUGGGCGAAAGCCUGACGCAGCGACGCCGCGUGAGGGAUGACGGCCU